rnacentral:rRNA from 1 species
AACAGGAUUAGAUACCCUGGUAGUCCACGCCCUAAACGAUGUCUACUAGUUGUCGGGUCUUAAUUGACUUGGUAACGCAGCUAACGCGUGAAGUAGACCGCCUGGGGAGUACGGUCGCAAGAUUAAAACUCAAAGGAAUUGACGGGGACCCGCACAAGCGGUGGAUGAUGUGGAUUAAUUCGAUGCAACGCGAAAAACCUUACCUACCCUUGACAUGUCAGGAACCUCUGAGAGAUUGGAGGGUGCCCGAAAGGGAGCCUGAACACAGGUGCUGCAUGGCUGUCGUCAGCUCGUGUCGUGAGAUGUUGGGUUAAGUCCCGCAACGAGCGCAACCCUUGUCAUUAGUUGCUACGCAAGAGCACUCUAAUGAGACUGCCGGUGACAAACCGGAGGAAGGUGGGGAUGACGUCAAGUCCUCAUGGCCCUUAUGGGUAGGGCUUCACACGUCAUACAAUGGUACAUACAGAGGGCCGCCAACCCGCGAGGGGGAGCUAAUCCCAGAAAGUGUAUCGUAGUCCGGAUCGCAGUCUGCAACUCGACUGCGUGAAGUUGGAAUCGCUAGUAAUCGCGGAUCAGCAUGUCGCGGUGAAUACGUUCCCGGGUCUUGUACACACCGCCCGUCACACCAUGGGAGCGGGUUUUACCAGAAGUAGGUAGCUUAACCGCAAGGAGGGCGCUUACCACGGUAGGAUUCGUGACUGGGGUGAAGUCGUAACAAGGUAACC